rnacentral:rRNA from 1 species
CCUACGGGAGGCAGCAGUGGGGGAUAUUGCACAAUGGAGGGAACUCUGAUGCAGCGACGCCGCGUGAGGGAAGAAGGUUUUCGGAUUGUAAACCUCUGUCUUCGGUGACGAAACGAGACGGUAGCAGAGGAGGAAGCUCCGGCUAACUACGUGCCAGCAGCCGCGGUAAUACGUAGGGAGCAAGCGUUGUCCGGAUUUACUGGUGGUAAAGGGUGCGUAGGCGGCCUUGCAAGUCAGAAGUGAAAUCCAUGGGCUUAACCCGUGAACUGCUUUUGAAACUGUAGGGCUUGAGUGAAGUAGAGGCAGGCGGAAUUCCCGGUGUAGCGGUGAAAUGCGUAGAGAUCGGGAGGAACACCAGUGGCGAAGGCGGCCUGCUGGGCUUUAACUGACGCUGAAGCACGAAAGCGUGGGUAGCAAACAGGAUUAGAUACCCCAGUAGUC